UACAGAGGUCCCGAGCGUUGUUCGGAUUCAUUGGGCGUAAAGGGCUCGUAGGCGGCCAACUAAGUCAUACGUGAAAUCCCUCAGCUUAACUGGGGAACUGCGUGUGAUACUGGAUGGCUUGGAUUUGGGAGAGGGAUGCGGAAUUCCAGGUGUAGCGGUGAAAUGCGUAGAUAUCUGGAGGAACACCGGUGGCGAAGGCGGCAUCCUGGACCAAUAUUGACGCUGAGGAGCGAAAGCCAGGGGAGCAAACGGG
rnacentral:rRNA from 1 species